GCAGAAGUGGCGGAAUGGCAGACGCGCUAGAUUCAGGUUCUAGUGGGGUAACACCCGUGUGGGUUCAAGUCCCAUCUUCUGCA
rnacentral:tRNA from 2 species